UCUAGGUCAGCCUUCACAAGACAUCAGCAGAGUUGGGUGUUUUUAUGUUUAUCCUGCUGAAAGCUACAGUAAAACCUAAAUGUAAAGAAAUCUAAAGAGAAUCAGCAUCUGCCAAAGUCAGGGAGCAAUGGCAAAGACUGGGUUCUCUGCUACUGGCCAGAAACUGCAAAUUCCUGCCAACUGCAACAGCAGAGAGGAGAAAAAUGGAGCAGGAAGGACGCAGCAGGCACAGAGACUCUGUCCUCGCUCAGCCAAAUGCCUCGAAUAACCCUUGGUCGUGGAUAGGUGCCCGCCUGCAUAAGGGCCUCUUGCUUGAGUUUUUUCCUGAAACUCAAGCAGCUCUGCAAAUGGGUGAAACAACUGGCUCUGGGACCUUCCAGAGGCCAGCAAGGCCUUCUGAGCGUGGAUGGCACUGGACAUUCUGCCUGGAGAAAACUGUAGGACCACAGAAGCUGGUCAUUGAGCUCAGAUGCUGCCACUCCCCUUGGAACUCAGCACGGUGCUCUGGAUUAGAGGAACCUCUACUGUACCUGAGGAGAUUUGGAGCCCACACCAAGGCCAGGUUUCUGGUGUGCAUGUUGGUCAUGUUGCUGAAGGAGGCCAGAGCUAUUGGAAGAAGAAGUUUCUUUGUGUCCCCAGCACAGCAGAGAUUUCCUGCACUGUUGCUCCAAGUCUCAGCACACCAUGCCCAGACAUUCAGACAUGGUGAUCAGUAUUUAUGGGAGAGGGGCAAUCAAGGACUUAGACCUUCAAUUACAAAUUACACGGGGGGUUUUGGCUUGUGUUGAUUUGUUUUGCUUUGCUUUUCAUGGGGUAUUUUUUUGGUUCUUUUCACUUUUUUAAACUUGGUUAAUGAUGGAUAAAAUGAGAGUAGAAAGAGAGAAGGGAAAAUAAUGGAAAAAGCAAAAAGCAAUGACACCCCCCAAAAAUAACCUGUUAAAACAUGUUUUUCAAGCUGUUUUAUGAGAAUACCUUGGAUAUACAUGUUCUGUAUUCUUCAAAAUAAACAAUAUUUUGACUGUCAUAACAACAUAGCUGAAGGGAUUAUUUUUGUGGGUUUGCAUCUUUCAUGAUGGAAGAAGCCAUAGCAGAAUCCCUGCCCAGCAGAUUAAUAAACUCUUAUACUCAGGCUUAGACAGAAUCAAAGUUAUACAUCUCAGUCUUGAGCAAAUCUCUACAGACCAAGAGCUCAGAAAGCCAUGAGAAGAUUUUGUCAGCAUUCCUGGGAGUUCACUGCAUUGGCAUUCAUCUGUUCAGCCAUUCCCUUUCAAUAUUUCUGCUGGGGGAGGACAAGCCACCACCAGUUCAAACAGUGCACGACUGUCUGGGAACCUCCUCCUACCCACCCGCCUGCCGCUGGCGCUUGGAGCGAGUUCAAAGGAAGAUGCUGUGACCCACACAGCCAGCACAAGCUUUGCCUCCAGACAGAUGUCAGAGCUGCCAGGGGAGGAAAGGAAGGAAGCAACCCUUCCCAAGCCAUCCACCACUUAAACAUCACGAACCUGAAAUUACCACUGCUAGAGAAGCAUCUUCCUGCAGCAGCCACUACAGCACCUUCUGUGAUGAUGCUACCACUGCUGGUUUUGUCACUGCCCUCCCCUGAGAUCACUUCUCAUCUGCAACCAUCAGCUAACCAAACAUUGCCAGUUUCCAGGCCAGAGAAGUGAUGGCAGAUAAAACAAGUGAGCUCACUAGUUAGGCGUAUAUGAGAUGCACAUGUAUUUGGUUUGCCCAAAUUAAAGGCAGGUUAACUCCUUUUAGUGAUUUUACAAGUUUCUGUGUGUUGGAAUGUUGGGGGACGCAAGACAGAUGAUGGACUUUGGACCUGGUUAACAUAAGAGAUUUGAUAACAGGAUGCCUUGGCAAAAGCAAACGGAACUUUGAAAAUUAGACCUGGGUUGCAAGGAGAUUAAAUGAAACGAGUUUACCAGAAAAAGAAAAUCCCAUUAAACUCUGCAAGCUAGAGAUGUUGCUAUAUGCAUAAGUUUGUGUAUGUGAUUUUAACCUAAUCAUUGCAGUACACAUUACUAGUCUCCCUGAAAUAGUAUAUAAGCGUUUGUAUCCCACAAUAAAAUCGGAUUCUGAUCACUGAGUCAGUCUCCCUGUCUCUCUCCAUCGCUGACAUCUAUGGUGCCUUAAAAAAAAAGCCCAGAAAUCUGAAACAUAAGAGCUCUUGUAAUCUUAAUACAAUGUUUCCAGCUGAAUAGCC